GGGGGGACAGCUCAGUGGCAGAGCACAUGUUUAGCAUGCACGAGGUCCUGGAGACUGAACCUGGGUUCAAUUUCCAGUACCUCCA
rnacentral:tRNA from 1 species